UACGUAGGUGGCAAGCGUUGUCCGGAAUUAUUGGGCGUAAAGCGCGCGCAGGCGGUCCUUUAAGUCUGAUGUGAAAGCCCACGGCUCAACCGUGGAGGGUCAUUGGAAACUGGGGGACUUGAGUGCAGAAGAGGAGAGUGGAAUUCCACGUGUAGCGGUGAAAUGCGUAGAGAUGUGGAGGAACACCAGUGGCGAAGGCGACUCUCUGGUCCGGUACUGACGCUGAGGUGCGAAAGCGUGGGGAGCAAACAGG
rnacentral:rRNA from 1 species